GAUGUCGCGAUCAGGAUGUGGGUCAUGUCAUAUGGGACCGACGUGAUUUCGGGGAAGCCCUGGGCUUUCUGAGAAGGAAUACCAGCCCACAGGUCCGUCCAAACGGAGCUCAUGUGUUCACUGGGCGUCAGCCUGCUAAUGCACGCCAAAAAGCUGCACUAUUCAUUUAUAAGGCGUCUCGUUUGACCCAUUUCCCCGAAGUUGGUGGGAUUGACGAGCUGCACACUGGCCUAACACCGCUGCUAAAUGCGGCCGGUGAGUAACUCUGGCAGAGACAAAAAUGUCGAUGCUUCUCUGGGGGUCAGUGCUGGAAGACCACAUAUCUGUGUCAAAUUCACACAGCUCUACCCACACCAGCAGCAUGUCAGACUUACAUCAAAACUUUCCAGAUACGUCAAAACUUUCUGCUUUAUUCCAUCGAUACAGCUCCUCUUCAUCACCUGGAAAUUGAUUUCUGUGAAGCUAUUUUGCCAGGUGUCCCAAACCCUGAGGAGAAGGUGCCAUAAAAAACCAUCAGAGUGGCUUCAAGCAGUUUUCUCAUUCCUGUUGUGCUAACUUGGAAUUCAUUUUCAGAUUUUAGAGAUAUUAAUGCAUGCAAACACCAGGCAGGAAAGAUAUAAAAGCAGUAUAGGAAAGCCCAUUAUGCAUCUUUUCUAUGCAGAUUAUAGAUGCAGCUGGAUUUGUAUAGAUAUGUUUGCUUUACAAGUCAAAUGAGAGUAUUAUUAUUGAAUAAAACUGAAUAAACUGCAAAAUGAUAUGAAUGCA